UACGGGGGGGCAAGCGUUGUUCGGAAUUACUGGGCGUAAAGGGCUCGUAGGCGGCCAACUAAGUCAGACGUGAAAUCCCUCGGCUUAACCGGGGAACUGCGUCUGAUACUGGAUGGCUUGAGGUUGGGAGAGGGAUGCGGAAUUCCAGGUGUAGCGGUGAAAUGCGUAGAUAUCUGGAGGAACACCGGUGGCGAAGGCGGCAUCCUGGACCAACUCUGACGCUGAGGAGCGAAAGCGUGGGGAGCGAAACAGG
rnacentral:rRNA from 1 species